rnacentral:lncRNA from 1 species
AUAUACAUACACCUUAUUUUUAAAAUCUACCAUUUUUUCCCUUCUAUCUGGUUUGAUCACAACAUUCCAAUGAAUUUUUGCUAAAUGGACAGAAGAAUAUAAAUAAAUGACAAAAAAUAAAUGAUUAAAAAAAUGAACAGCAAUGAAGAAAUGGAAAGUAUUUGAGGACAGUAAGAAAGAAAAUUUAUAAUAAUGCAGGAAAUAGAAAAGGAAGAAGGCUUGAUAAACUUAAAGAAUUAUAUCUUUGAAAAGUAAGAAAUAAAAAGAAAAAAAGAUUCUGUGAAAAAAAAAAAUACCGAAAUGCAAAAACAUUUCUUGCAUGUUCCCCUGUUCUUGAAACCUGUACAGUAACUCUUUUUAAAAGAAGUCAUCCAAAAGAAAAGGGAAUUUUUUUUUUUCCAUUUUAUGUUUUUCAACAUAUAUAUAUAUGUAUAUAUAUAUAUAUAUAAAUAUGUAUAUAUGUGUGUAUAUACAUAUAUACUUUGUUCCUUGAAAAUCACCCCUCCUCCCCCCUCAAAAGAGAAACAAAAAUAACCCCAAAAGAUCAAUAGAAGAACAUUCUAUUCUGUGAAACAUUAACAAAAACCCUCCUUCCAUCAAAUAUAUUUCACAAAUGCUCCCCCCUCUAUCCACUACCCAAUGCUUCUCCUUCCUUCCCCUCUAAUAUUUUUUUUAGUAAAAUAUAUUAUGUAAAUUUUCCCACCUUCCUUUCUUCCUGUCAAACAUAUACAAUAUACAAACUCAAUCCCAACCAAGACUUAAUACAAGUGACCCCAUCCCCGUUUUUUGUAAAUUCCGUUUUUCCCCCUUUAAUGAAAUACCCUUCCACAUUCAAAAAUAAAACAACUCCCAAGUCAAACGAUUACAACUUUCUCAUUUAUGAGAAUGAUUCUUCUUUCGUCUACCGAUUCUGGAAGAAAUGUUUAAUUUUGACCAUUUUUAGGGCGAUACAUAUUGCCAGUUUUAAUUAAAUUCUUGUUAUAAAUUCGUUUUAUUUUGUUCUUUUAUCUCUUCAUUGUUUUACCUACAUGCAAUCACGUGAUACAUGAGUACAAAAAUAUCAAUCUGUCUAUCUAUCCAUACACAUAUGUGCAUUUGUGUUUAUAUAACCAGGUGGGGAAAGCUAAGGGAAUCAUUACCUCUGCUGACAGCAAAGGUAUUCUCUCACUAUGUGAAGGGUAGAUUAUUUGAUGCCUAUGUAUGAGUUGUGAUGAUGUAUUGAAUUAGGAGAAUGUGCGAAGGCUGGAAAGUAAUGUGUGAUGUUAAUGUGAUUGAAUAAUUGCAUGCAAAUGAACUUUGAGAAAAUGUGUUAUAAAAGGAAUCGGAUGUGGAGUGAAAGAAAAAAAGGCUAUGCUGGUAUGGGCAUGUGAUAGCAGUAAACAGAAAGCUGUUCACUUUGGAUGAGGGUGAGAUCUGAACAUAGACGCUACUACAGAUGUCACCAUUCUUGCUUCAUUAUUGCAACUGAAAGAAGUACUAAGUCAUUCAAGUGGAAGGAACUUGUGAAAGAGAAAGAUAUGGGAUAAAGAUGAAUGGACUGAGACUCAAGAAGGAGUUUGACACUGGAUUGUAAAAUUAUUAUGUGGUGAAGCAGGACUGUGCUGUGAGAAAUAGACCUAUAAAAUAAUGAUUAUGUAUUAUUGAUGACUUAGUGUAGAUUUAAAAUACUAGUUUUUGUUGUUUUUUUCUUCUGCUAAUUAACUUUUAAUCCCUGAUAUGUAACUUGGGCAGAAACUACAUUUCUACGUAUAAGAGCAGAUUUUUAAAGCAUUCCCUUGGCCAUUUUGAACUUCAGCCAUUCUAUGUGGUAUGAAACUUAUGAUCCGACCACCAUCAUCAUUCAACAUCGGUUUUCCAUGCUGACAUGGGUUGGACGGUUUGACAGGGAGCUGUACCAGGUUCCAUUUUACUGAGUGUCCUGGGUGCUUGUUAUGUGUUACCAUCACCAGUGCUUUUUACUUGGUAUCAGCCAGGUCACCAAGUACUUUGCACGACAAAAAAAACCCUCAACUGAGGAAGGGAAGUAGUAUUGAGGGAAUAUGAGUAUGUGCCAGUUGAGAAAUUUAAGGUAUAGAGGGUGCAGAUCUAGGUGUCUUGCUGUAGAGGAGAUACGUGGAUAUCCCAGUCGGAAAACAGUGAUUUAGAGAGUGAUAGUGAAAAAGAUGAUGGCGAAGAUAUGUUGGGACAUACACUCGAAGCACAUUAGGGUGGUAGUGAAACUAGGUGAGGCUCUUGAGUUGGGUGGGUGGACUUGAUGCAGUGAUCACAGCAAAUAAUGAAGAGAAAUACAGGAUGAAGGUUGUGAUAGAUAUGUGAGGACAUUGAGGAUGAUAUCAGGUAAAUGAGGUGUUGAUGAUGGAGAGCAGCACAGGGAGUGGGUAGAAGGCGCAGAAAUGAGGAGGUCAUUGGUGAAGACAGUAGAUCGGAGAAAAGGUAAUUGAGAAAGCCAAGGGUGUAGUAUGUGCCAUCUCUGUUCUCAGGUGUUGUCUUCAAUACUGAUGUAGCUGAUAUAACCUUCACUUUUGCUGCCAGACAUUCCUACAUUCUUGGUAUCUCCACUUAUAGUUUAGCAUAUUUUUUGUUCUUUGCGGUAUUUUUAUCUAAAGGAAUUGCAACGUCUAUUGUGAUGCAUUCUCUUUUCCAAGUCAUGUAUAGUAUUUGGGCUAUGCUGUUCAAUUAGUCUGGAUGUCAAAAUCCCAUAGAAUAUUUGAUUUACUAUGUACAGUUAGAGUCGCUUCUGCUACAUGAUCGUACUACUUAUAAGAAGUAUUCUGUCCACUUUUAUUUUUAUUCAUUUAUUCUUUUUUUUUUUUAAGUGACCACUGUCUGUCGUUGGCUUAUUAAAAAUAGAAAGCAAACGGAAAGCAAUCGUAAGGAACAAAGAGCGAAUUAAGUCAUCGCCUAGGUGAAAGUGCUGAGUGAAAAGAGAAUAAAUUGCAUGGAAAUAAACGAAAUUAACUUGAAAGUGUAUGGUAUGAACAAUAUAAAUGAUGAUGAGAUUGGCAAUAUACAUUUGAUGGAAUUGUUAUUAAAUGCAGAAAUGGGCCAAGGGGUCAGACGAAAUCUAUCCCAGAAAGGUCAAGCAGAAAUGGCGAACACUUACGUCACUUCUGUCAUAUAUUACCGCCUGACUGUUGUACAUUGCCCCAGUUCACGUCUUACCUAACUGGAGCGUCCGUUCUUCAUUUUUCUGUGGAGGAGAUGAAUUCCACUGGUCAGUAUCACCAUUUGUUGUCAACACCCACUCAGUAGAGGACUGGACAAAAUGUGGCAGAUGAUCCAUAGACAUACGCUAUUUCCUUGACGGUGAGCAGGUGUGAUCGCCGUUUGUCUGACUCACUUUUCCACAGUUCGUCUAUUUGACAAAGUCACAGUUUUGGAUCCAAUAUAGACCAAGAGAAAGUGUCUGGUAUAUCGAGUGACUUGGGACGCUCACAGCCCUCUGUCAGUCGGGUCAUACAAGUAGAAAUUUCACCACAGCGUUCUGUGGCGGGCAACAGCGACGAUAUACUCGAGAUCUUUCGAAUCAUGACUCGUGUUGCAGCACGAGAAAUCCUUGGCCUGGCAGUACUACUGGGAGAUGGGCAUUGCCGAUUCGAGUUAAAUUUGUAGCAAAUUAGUUGAAAAUUGUAAAUGGCAAGGACGGUUCAAGUGAACAGACUUGCUCUGAGUGAGUGCCUGUUGAUUUAGGAAUGAAAAUAGGAAUAGGGCAAUUGCCCUGGAGUUUAGUGUGUGUGUGGUUUGGUGGUGGUGGGAGUUCCACGAACAACCCCGUGAGGAGUUCAUACAUCACUUUGGUGGUGGUGGUGAUGGUAGGUGGAAUUAUUUCUUGUUUGAACUUUUGUUUGUUAUCACACUUUUAUGUAACCUCACGUUAUAAACAUCCUGUACUAUUCUCGAUCUUUCUGUGAACCCUCAAUGAUCAAUAAAGAAAACAUUAUUACAUGGGGAAACAAGGUGGCAGAAUUGUUAGGGCGUGGAACAAUGUCUUAGAGUAGUUCUUGCGGUUCAAAUCUUGCCGAGGCGAGCGUCGUCUCCCAUCCACUCGGUGUCGACAAUAUAAAGUACCAGUCAAGUACUGGAGUCAAUGGCAUCGACUAAUUCCUUCUCAAAAUUGCUGGCCUUGCGCCUAAAUUAGAAGCAAUUAUUUUAGGGCGGUGAAUUGACAGAAUUACUGGAGCGUCGGAUAAAAUGCCUUGCCAUAUUUGAUUUUGGCAUUUGAUUAUGAAUAAAUUACAAACAAUUAUUAUAUUCUACAAAUUAAAGAUUCGUUACAAUAUUUGGUUUCACCAGAAACGAUAUUUUAAAAAAAAUGUAAGUUCGCAAAAUAUCGCAAAGAACACAUGUCCUUGAACAUAAAACCCUCUAACGAUAAAGAUCUAAACAGUUUGAUAUACGUGGAAAAGAAAUUUGUACUAUCUCCCUGCCCCUGUCUGACUGUGGAAGCACUCCGUCGGUUACGACGAUGAGGGUUCCGGUUGAUCCGAAUCCUGUCUGACUAUAUAUGUAUCUCACACACUCUCUCUCUCUCCCUCUCAUAUAUACGUGUGUGUAUGUGUAUCUCUUAUCGGCCUAUAGCAGUACCAUGUUUUUUUUCUACAAGUAUUUGUUUAGGGUCCACAAUAGAGCAAGCAGUCUUAAUAUUAAUUCGUGUAACACGAAUAACGAUUACUACCGUCACAACAUUAAAAUGUAGUUAGUUAUUUACUAUUAGCUGUCUUUCUUUUUAUUUUUCCUUUUUUUAUGCUAGUGUGAGAAGUAUUUUUCGGUUUGUAAAUAUUUAUACUUAUUUUCGUUAUUAUUUAUACUCUUUAAUGCUAGCACUUUAUACUUCAACUCUAAAUGGGAUUUAGAUGAGUUUUCAGCGGCAAAAUUGUUUACAAAUACUUCUGCUAACUUCCGAUUGAAGUCGAGUUCUAACAAACCCCUAAUUACAUAGUUUCACUAUUGAUUAGCGAUCGACCAAGAACGAUGGUCGAAUUAAAUCUAUAAAUCUAUAACGAAGGGCGUAAAAAUUGCAGUGCCGAAACUUGUCUUUUCUCCAGCAAGACCAUAGACCCUGCGUAGUUUGUUUCUCUGUUCGCUUACGGCAAGGUGUGAACUAGAGCAGGAGAGCAAGAAAGGGGGGUAGAUAUAGAAGAAUGGGUUGCUAGAUGUCGGUUGUUGGUAUGGAGAUUGACUAGGAAAAGUAGCAUUAGUGAUGUAAUUGGGAAGGGAAAAUGAUGGGAUAGCGAUAGAGAGGUGAAAGAGUAUAAUAGAAGUGGGAUGGAGUGAGUAUUAUGCGAGAACGAUAGAAAGAGAGAGAGAGAGGGAUAGCGAUGAAUAGCAAUAUUGAUGUGUGAUAGUAAGGGUAGCUGAUGAACAAUACUGAUUAGGGAAUGCAACAGAGAGACAGAUGUUAAUGAAUAACAAAAAAAAAAGUAACGAGACAGAGAGAAGCUAGCAAUAAUGAAUAUAUCCAGAUCUGAUAUCAACCCUCAUUAUACAGGUGGCGUGAUGGUAAAGUGGUAGGGUCAUAAAAGGGUAAUAGUGAUUUGGGAAGUUAAAUGCGAGUACAUCUAGAUUCCAACCACUAUUAGUACUAUUUUUACACCCGUUUUGCUAUUCUUGAUUGAAUGGGUAGCACUUCUCCAACACCGCAGAUCGCCGCUUUUGGUUCUUCGUCAUCUCCAUCGCGAGGUUCAGAUUCAUGAGAUAAGUUUUCGUCAUUCCAUUCUCUAUCUUCCUGUGUCCCCUUCUAUUACAGGUACCAUCCACUUGAAGCUCACCGACAAUUUAGGUGCAAAAAUAAUGACGGUUUUUAUUUUAAAAUUUGAUGCUUAUUUUGGAAUAAACUUUCAUUUAACUAUGUUCAUGUAACACACCAUUUUGAAGUGCAGAUUUUUUUUUAUUGAUUUGUGGUAAUAGUUUUGCAUUUACUGUUUCUUCUUGUUUAUUUUAAGCUGUCAAUAAAAAGC